rnacentral:rRNA from 1 species
GUCUACAGCCAUGCUACUCCGAACAAGCCCAAUCCUGUCUGAUUUCGGAAGCUAAGCAGGGUUGGGCCUGGUUAGUACUUGGAUGGGAGACCACCUAGGAAGACCAGGUGCUGUAGGCA